rnacentral:rRNA from 1 species
CCUACGGGGGGCUGCAGUGAGGAAUAUUGCACAAUGGGCGCAAGCCUGAUGCAGCAACGCCGCGUGGAGGACGAAGGCCUUCGGGUCGUAAACUCCUUUUCUGGGGAAAGAGCAAGGACGGUACCUCAGGAAUAAGUCUCGGCUAACUACGUGCCAGCAGCCGCGGUAAAACGUAGGAGGCGAGCGUUAUCCGGAUUUACUGGGCGUAAAGCGCACGCAGGCGGCUCUGUAAGUUGGACGUGAAAGCUCCCGGCUUAACCGGGAGAGGCCGUUCGAUACUGCGGGGCUUGAGGUAGGGAGAGGAAUGCGGAAUUCCCGGUGUAGUGGUGGAAUGCGUAGAUAUCGGGAGGAACACCUGUGGCGAAAGCGGCAUUCUGGCCCUCACCUGACGCUGAGGUGCGAAAGCGUGGGUAGCAAACAGGAUUAGAUACCCCAGUAGUC